rnacentral:lncRNA from 10 species
GUGACUUUGAGAGUUCCCCUCAUGGCUACAGGGUCAACCAACUUUUUGUUGGGACUCCGGAGCUGAAUGGCUUUUCUCUCUGUCAACCCUCGGCUCAGCCCAGAAGUACAAGAAAAGCAGAAACUGGUUCCAGGCAAACCAACGCUCCCAACUCCAAAGAGUUGGGGGUUGUUAGAGAGCCCUUUCCCAGAAAGCCUGACACCCAUGUCUUUAGUCCAGCGGCCAUGCUAGUUGCUUUUAACUGGCUGACAGGUGCUCGGUGUUUAGCCCCCAAAUUCUAAGGAAUAAUAGGACAGAAUAGCAAGUGAAAGGGGUCCAAUGGUACUCACCACUUGGCGAUAGUCCCUUCAUAGUUUCCAAGAUGUGUCCGGAGUUUGUUCCUUCUGGUGGGUUCGUGGUCUCACUGACUUCCAGAAUGGAGCUGCAGACCUUCGCGGGCAGCUAUUUGGGAAGAUCUUGGCUAGUUAAUUCUGUACCAUGUGACAUCACACGAGAAAACUCUGUAGUCUCCAUCUAGCUGAUGGGCUCAGUGGCAAGAUACAUGAUUCCUUCACUAACAUGUCUAGUGGCUUGGAGAGGUUGGAUGGAAGACUGGACUCAUCUGUCAUUGUCAGAGGCACCUCCAUGAGGACAGCAUGCACAGAGUGGUUGGAUUUCUUUUGUGGGAGCUCAAGAAUCCAGGAAAAGGUUAUAAACGGUCUGUGGCUAUUCCCUGUGACUAUAGUCACAGAUGUAGUCAGUUCUGUAAUGGUAAACAGGUAUUUAGCUAGCCCAUGGGGAAACGAGACAAUCAAAUUGAAUUAUUUGGAACUAGAGUCAGUUGUAAAGAGAAAAGUAAGAGAAAAAUAAAUAAAUAAAUGAAUCUCUGUCACACUGGAAGCAGAGGUAGAAUGAUUCCAAAGAGAUGAGAGUUACUCUAAGGACAGCAAUAAUUAUCAACAAAUAGUUUCUCAUAUCAAAUAUUGUGGUACCAUAGACGUACCUUUUAAAAGCAGUUAGUUCUACCUUAAUGUCUGGAGAAGCUAACUUUCGUUAAUAGCUUAUUGUUCAAACUUCCACUGGGGGCAGUGGGAGUGACACAGUUUCAUUAGGACAAUUUAAAGAGGGUUUAAUAAGAGGAUUAUUUACAAACAGGUGUUUGAGGUGCCUGGAAAUCAGAAGGGGUAAUAAAGUAAUCUAGGAAUAAUUAGUGAAGCUGCGACUUCUUUUAGUAUCAGAAGUAACAAGGAGAGAGUGGCUUCAAGAACCUGAGAGCUGUAGAGACACUUUCAGCAGUUUUGUGCCCUGUAUUUGGGGCAUACGGCCAGCUCAAAUUCCUUACAUACAGAGAAUCAUGGAAAAAUAAAACUUAAUUCCCAUUUGAUUCCCUGCUAGGAUCCUCUAUUGGCCAAAUCAACUGGAAGCCAGAAAAUAAAGAUGUAACCCAUUUGGUCUAAUCAUGAGAAAAACUUCAGACAAAUCCCAAUUAAAGGAUAUUCUAUGAAACAACUUACCACUACUCUUCAAAACCAUUAAGGCUGUCAAAACCAACGAAAGUGGGAAACUUAUCACAGCCAAGAAGAGUCUAAGGAAACACCAUGACUAAAUAUAAUGUGAUAUUCUGGAUUCAAUCUCAGAAUAGAAAAAGGAUAUGAGGUAAAAACUGAGGAAAUGUGUUUAAAGUGUGGGUAUUAGUUAAUUACAAUAUAUCAAUGUAAUUUUGCUGAUUAUAAAAUAUGUACCAUAGUAAUGAAAGAUGUUACUAAGAGGGAAAACUAUGUGGCUACGUAGGAACUUCAAGUAUUAUCUUUGCCAUUUUCUAUAAAUCUAAAAUUGUUCUAAAAGUUUAUUAAAAACCUUAUUAAAAGUUUUGAUUUUAGUGUUUUUGAUGGUAACAUGACCCAGCUUUGAAUGAAAUGCACCUCUCAUUCCAUUUGUAAGUGCCAAAACACUUUGAAGGAUAAACGUACCUUAAAAUUUAAAUGACUCUCUGGAAAAUCAGAUGAUUGAGGUAGUUUUUUUUCUGUUCCCAACACCUAACAUAGUGCCUGGCACAUUGUUGGAAAUCAAAUAAAAAAAAUCCUUUAAGUAUGGAAAUAUCAAGAAUAAAUUUGUAGUUUGAAAUAAGUCAUUUUGAAAAGAGAUAUAACUUCCUUGAUAUUCAAGAAUAAAGUUUCUAACAUAUGACAAUUUGCCUAGUAAUUCAAUAGCAAUUAUAAAAAAUAUUUAUGGCCAGGUGCGGUGGCUUGCGCCUAUAAUCCCAGCACUUUGGGAGGUUGAGGCAGGUGGAUCACCUGAGGUCAGGAGUUUGAGGCCAGCCUGGCCAACAUGGUGAAACCCUGGCUCUAGUAAAAAAAUUAGCUCAGUGUGGUGGCAGGUGCCUGUAAUCCCAGCUACUCUGGAGGCUGAAGCAUGAGAAUCUCAUGAAGCUGGGAGGCGGAGGUUGCAAUGAGCUGAGAUCGUGCGCUUGCACUCCAGCCUGGGCAACAGAGCAAGACUCCAUCUAAAAAAAAAUUAUCUACAGAAAUGACUUUACCUAAAAACUAAAAAAAAAACCAUAAAAUAUAACUUAUAAAUAAAAGCAACAAAGGAAUCAGUUUUAUCAGUAUAUGCAAAUUUUAAUAAGUGAGAUGCAAUAUAGAAAACUCUUGAUAUUAAUUCACAUUGGCAACAUGUAUCAUUGUGUGUUUAUAGCUUUGAUAAUGUAACAACUAACUGUACUUUGCUGAUUAGUCCUUCCGAAAGUUGAUAGACAUUGGAUAAAUUCAACUAUACUAAAAAGCUUUAAUAAAUAAACACUUUACUGC